rnacentral:rRNA from 1 species
GACGAACGCUGGCGGCGUGCUUAACACAUGCAAGUCGAACGGAAAGGCCCCUUUGGGGGUACUCGAGUGGCGAACGGGCGAGUAACACGUGAGUAACCUGCCCUUGACUUCGGGAUAACUUCAGGAAACUGGGGCUAAUACCGGAUAGGAAUCCUUGCUGCAUGGUGGGGGUGGGAAAGCUUCGGCGGUUUUGGAUGGACUCGCGGCCUAUCAGCUUGUUGGUGGGGUAGUGGCUUACCAAGGCUUUGAUGGGUAGCCGGCCUGGGGGGGCGACCGGCCACCUUGGGGCUGGGGUUCGGCCCAGACUCCUACGGGGGGCAGCAGUGGGGGAUAUUGCACAAUGGGCGGGAGCCUGAUGCAGCAACGCCGCGUGCGGGAUGACGGCCUUCGGGUUGUAAACCGCUUUCAGCAGGGGCGAAGCUUGUGGUGACGGUACCUGCAGAAGAAGCACCGGCUAACUACGUG